UCAGCAUCGUAACUUUUUAUUUUGUUUUCUACGCUUUGGGCGACAAGCGUGAAAGAAAAUACGACAGCUUCAUCUUUGUGGAACUGUAGUGGACUGUCGCUAAAGGGCCAUUUGUGUUAAAAACUCCACUGUUAUCUGCGGUCGAUCAUGUAGGUCAUGGGGGUUUCCUUCAACCAGUACUUCUUAAACUUAGUUCCAUGGAGCCCUUAGAAAUGAAAAAUUUUAUCAUUUUAUCUAAAAUGGUGUAGUUAACUUCUCUUGAGAUCUUGUUUUACUAUUCUUUCUUUUCUGACUUUCUUACUUUUCGUAUCUUGAUACGGUUUACCUUGCAGGAGCUUAUGAAGACUUAUCGAUCUCUCAAGUUCAGAUAGCAGAAGAUGCAUACAUAGAAUUCAUCAGAAAAGAGGGAGACAAAGUUCGAUUACUGUGAGGGUGGAUUCCUCUUAUAAUCAACCCUUUGCGCUCGAAAGAAACCUUCAAUUCGAAGUGGAAGCUGCCAAUAUUUACUGAUGCAUAUCUACGCAAUAAAGACGUCACUUCAGAUCGUUACGACUCGAAUACAUCACUACCUCAAGUCAUCACUUUUUAUCUCCGUUGAACAAGUUUAAAAUAAAUUAAAAUUGUAGAACAGUAGUAAGACAUCACGUUUUUAAAUGCAAUUACGAACAUAAUGCACAUCGGUAUUCUUUGCGAACGAUUAAUUGAAUUUGUCCAUAAAUUAUCAAGGGCUAUGUAAUAUUAUUAUGCAUACAGAAUAAUGUUAAUAUUCGUACGAGUCGAGCGACUAAAAUAUCUCGGUAUUUAUUGUGCAUUGUUCGAAUAUUGCAUCACGUAAUGGCUUAACUACUAGUAACAUAAAUAAAAUUUGUACUUGUUUCUGUUGGAAAUUUGGAGUAUUCGAAAGUAUGGUAAACUACCCUCUCUAUUUUGCAAUAAAAUAAAUCAUUUUCAAAUAA
rnacentral:lncRNA from 1 species